CAUGUCACUCCGCUCAUUUGGUGGUAAAUAGGUUCACAUAUGUAACACCUUCCAUGUCAUGAAGUGUUAGAUGUUCUG
rnacentral:lncRNA from 1 species